AGUGAACGCUGGCGGCGUGCUUAAUACAUGCAAGUCGAACGAUGAAGUCCUAGCUUGCUAGGAUGGAUUAGUGGCGCACGGGUGAGUAAUAUAUAGUUAAUCUGCCUUGCACUGAGGAACAACAGUUGGAAACGAUUGCUAAUACCUCAUACUCCAACUUUACAUAAGUUAAGUUGGGAAAGCCUUUUCGGUGCAAGAUGAGACUAUAUCGUAUCAGCUAGUUGGUAAGGUAAUGGCUUACCAAGGCUAUGACGCGUAACUGGUCUGAGAGGAUGAUCAGUCACAUUGGAACUGAGACACGGUCCAAACUCCUACGGGAGGCAGCAGUAAGGAAUAUUGUGCAAUGGGGGAAACCCUGACGCAGCAACGCCGCGUGGAGGAUGACACUUUUCGGAGCGUAAACUCCUUUUGUUUGGGAAGAAUAAUGACGGUACCUAACGAAUAAGCACCGGCUAACUCCGUG
rnacentral:rRNA from 1 species